rnacentral:rRNA from 1 species
AGCAGUAGCCACGGGAAUACGUAGGGUGCGAGCGUUAAUCGGAAUUACUGGGCGUAAAGCGUGCGCAGGCGGUUUUGUAAGACAGGCGUGAAAUCCCCGGGCUCAACCUGGGAAUGGCGCUUGUGACUGCAAAGCUAGAGUGCGGCAGAGGGGGAUGGAAUUCCGCGUGUAGCGGUGAAAUGCGUUGAGAUCGGAAAGAACACCAACGGCGAAAGCACUCUGCUGGGCCGACACUGACACUGAGAGACGAAAGCUAGGGGAGCAAAUGGGAUUAGAUACCCCGGUAGUCCCUGUCUCUUAUAC